CACAAAUCCAAGGCAAUAUCAAAGGCCUGAGGUUCUCAUAGUCCCAGCUACUCGGGAGGCUGAGGCAGGAGAGUCGCUUGGGCCUGGGAGGCAGAGGUUGCAGUGAGCUGAGAUCACACCAUUGCACUCCAGCCUGGGUGACAGAGCAAGACUAUGUCAAAAAAAAAAAAAAAAAAAAAAAAAGGCUGGGCGCGCGGUGGCUCACGCCUGUAAUCCCAGGACUUCAGGAGUCAAGGCAGUUGGAU
rnacentral:lncRNA from 1 species